rnacentral:rRNA from 15 species
GCUUACGGCCAUACCACCCUGAACGCGCCCGAUCUCGUCCGAUCUCGGAAGCUAAGCAGGGUCGGGCCUGGUUAGUACUUGGAUGGGAGACCGCCUGGGAAUGCCAGGUGCUGUAAGCC